CUACGGGGGGCUGCAGUGGGGAAUAUUGCACAAUGGGCGCAAGCCUGAUGCAGCCAUGCCGCGUGUAUGAAGAAGGCCUCCGGGUUGUAAAGUACUUUCAGCGGGGAGGAAGGGAGUAAAGUUAAUACCUUUGCUCAUUGACGUUACCCGCAGAAGAAGCACCGGCUAACUCCGUGCCAGCAGCCGCGGUAAUACGGAGGGUGCAAGCGUUAAUCGGAAUUACUGGGCGUAAAGCGCACGCAGGCGGUUUGUUAAGUCAGAUGUGAAAUCCCCGGGCUCAACCUGGGAACUGCAUCUGAUACUGGCAAGCUUGAGUCUCGUAGAGGGGGGUAGAAUUCCAGGUGUAGCGGUGAAAUGCGUAGAGAUCUGGAGGAAUACCGGUGGCGAAGGCGGCCCCCUGGACGAAGACUGACGCUCAGGUGUGAAAGCGUGGGGAGCAAACAGGAUUAGAUACCCCGGUAGUC
rnacentral:rRNA from 1 species